GACGAACGCUGGCGGCGUGCUUAACACAUGCAAGUCGAACGGUAAGGCUCCAGCUUGCUGGGGUACCCGAGUGGCGAACGGGUGAGUAACACGUGGGUGACCUGCCCUGCACUUCGGGAUAAGCCUGGGAAACUGGGUCUAAUACCGGAUCGGACCAUGGUGUGGAUACUGUGGUGGAAAGUUUUUUCGGUGUGGGAUGGGCCCGCGGCCUAUCAGCUUGUUGGUGGGGUAAUGGCCUACCAAGGCGGCGACGGGUAGCCGGCCUGAGAGGGUGGACGGCCACAUUGGGACUGAGACACGGCCCAGACUCCUACGGGAGGCAGCAGUGGGGAAUAUUGCACAAUGGGCGGAAGCCUGAUGCAGCGACGCCGCGUGGGGGAUGACGGCCUUCGGGUUGUAAACUCCUUUCACCAUCGACGAAGGGUUUCUGACGGUAGAUGGAGAAGAAGCACCGGCUAACUACGUG
rnacentral:rRNA from 1 species